CUAGUUUGGGGCUGGCACUUGAUACUGAAAAGUGCAACUAACAUUGGACAUUGGCGAGUGCCUUCUGGGAAGGCAAGGAACUGGGCCUUUUUUCACCUGGCUGAAACUGCUCCUUGUUCAAAGAAAAGUCCUCUAUGACGCCAUCAUCGCCCUUAUCUGAAGAGUAGACACUGAACAUCUCAAGUGACAGUUAGGACCCUGGCUCUGGAGCCAGAUUCUUAGCAUGAGAUACAAAUGGCCUGCUCUUGCUUUCCUUUGCCCUUUCUCCAGUAUCUCUGGCUUCCCAUGGAAGAGGCUGCCCUAGGUGUUACACACACACAGAUCAUCUUUACUGACUGACAGUCUGCUCCUGGCACAGACUGGCUUCAGUUUCCAGCUCUCCCCGUGACUACAGCCCAUGAUGUUGGUUGCAGCCUUUUGUUGUAACCAUAUGAGUUCCACCCUGCCUGGCACCAUGCUUACUUGGGUCUGUGGACAUGAGUGCUUCUGGGGCACAGGUAUUGAUAGCCUGUUUUUGGAGACCUUUACCUGGGAUCUUGUAUCUCCUGCUGCUUCCCUCUGCACCUGGGAAUCAUCCCCAGGAGCCCAUGUCCUGAAGCUGCUGUUGUAUUUAGCUGAGGGAGAGGAAAAGGUUCUUCUGCAUGGCGUUUCUUUCUCUAAAACCAAGCCAAUAAAAAGACACACUUCCCACAUGGAGGAAGUGUGUUUCUACUACUGUCUGCCUGCAAACCUAGCUGCUCACUCUCACAGCUCUACAUGUCCUGGAGGCCUCUGUUCUUUCUGUUCAGACCUCAGCUGUUCUCUUCCAGGCUCACUCAUUUUUGGUAUCCAUCCUCUUGGGUAUUCUUCAGGCUUAGAUUCUAACUUCUCAAAGGCAAGAAAGAGUUUCUCCAGGUCCCUGCAGACCCAGGAGCGAGCUAGGAUGGUGGCAAGCUUCCCUCGAAGAUUGGGGAAGUGUGCCAGGCCAGGUGCUCCGAACCACAGGCGAGUCUGAGCCGUGGCGCUUCCUGAGAGAGGUAGUAAGGGACGACUUCUGGCACAUUCUAGAUCAACCUCAUCCAGUUGUUUUUUUUUUUUUUUUUUUUUCUGUUUUACCUUUUGUAUUCUGUUGUUAAGCCAACAAACUGAGAAUUUGCCCCCCUCAGGAUCCAUGUGGUGGAUACUAGCUGCUCUUUGGCCAAAGGCCUUCAUAGCUGAUUCAAUCUCCCAGUCUGUCCUCCAGUCCCACCCCAGAAUAAGACAUGUAUGGCAAGGGAAGAAUCUAAGGUCAACUCCAAACAAAUCUGAAUGAAACUUACUUUCCUUUUGAGAGAGCAUCUUGUUUGAAGCCUGAACUAUGUGCAGGACCAAAGCUGGCUGUGAGAAAAGCAGCCAGAAACUGGGGAGCCCAAUUCCCAGAGGGCAAAUGCUCUCGUGAUAUGUUUUCAAGGGCCCGGGCUUACCUCCCUGCUUCUAGGCCAGCCUGACUUCUGAUGCUCACACUAGCACAUGCUGGUGACGCCCAUUGGCCCUGCGCUCCUGUGGCACUGAUUUUAAGGUUUCAGUUCAGAGAAACAAUAUAGCAUGUGCAGGGAGCUGUGAAGGAAGACUGAGACUGCCUGGAAACCUGUCAGGGGUUCCCACCAUGAACCCUCAGAAGCUGCACGUGGGCAUUGGCUUUGUUAGCCAGCUUUUUGGGGAAUCUUCUUUUGACCUAUUACAUAAUGAAGUGGGCCUGAGGCCUCAGUGACCAGCAUGUGGAACGUCGCCCACAGACAGCCUGGGUUUCCAGGGCCCCUGGGUAGACAAACCAAGCUUGAUCUCAGAGCAGAAAGAGGCCAAGAGACCAUGGCACUGAGUGUGCUCAGUCCAGACAAAUGAUAUUUAUAUACCAUCCAAAUUUGAAGAGAAAAUGUAUUUCUUUAGGUUUCAAACACUGUAAUAGAUACAAGCAAAAAUAAAAACCUGUUGCAAAGUUCUGAAUUGUCUUCUUUGGUUUGGAAUGACUCCGGACUGAGAAGUAAACAUGAGACCUGGGCGAAAGAUGGUAGAGAACUUGGUAGCAUUCCUGAAGCCCUAGGUAUCACAUAAGCCAGACUUGUAGAGGAAGAGGGUUCAGAAGUUCAAGAUCAGCCUGUCUAUAUGAAACCCUAUCUGAAAAACAAAGUGGGUGUCUCAGCAGAUCAAGGC
ensembl:lncRNA